UUUCAUUUAUUUUUAACAGUAAUUCCAAUAAAUUGACCAAUAGAAAUAGAAACAAUAAAAAUAAAUAUAUCAAAGUUUAUUUGCCUCACUGUCCCUCCACUCCUGCCCUCCCCCAGUUAUUUACCCCCGUUGUGACCCCCUGACCUGACCUCAUGACCUUGGUUCAGGUUCAGCUGCUGUUAGUGUUUUUUUUGUUUGUUUGUUUGUUUUUUUUAUAGCAGACCAAGAUGAGAUGAUACUCCGCCCUCUUUCUGCCCCCCGCCCCUCAUCUGUCAAACGUUAAUUUCUGCCCUGCAGCUGAAGGUCAAAGGUUAACGUUUUAAAGGAGGAGGCGUGGCCGCAGAUUGACAUAGUGCUUUAUUGAAGCUGUCUGUAAGAAGGAAAAUAAUGUUCAUCCCAUCAUAAACAUCUUCAUGUGUAAAAAUACUCAGGAUGUACAGUUUAAAAAAAACAGCUUCAUGUCGAUGGUAAUCGGUUCUUGUCACAUGACGGCGGCCUCAACCUGACAUUGGGGACACAUUAGAGACGCUGUUGGAUCUGCUCAGUCCUCCCAACACCGCCCUGGAGACCGAAGGCGUCUCCGCCACAGCAGUGCAUCAUGGGAACGUGGCUCGUCUCUCUG